AUCCGGGUUGCGGACAGUGUCUGGUGGGUAGUUUGACUGGGGCGGUCUCCUCCUAAAGAGUAACGGAGGAGCACGAAGGUUGGCUAAUCCUGGUCGGACAUCAGGAGGUUAGUGCAAUGGCAUAAGCCAGCUUGACUGCGAGCGUGACGGCGCGAGCAGGUGCGAAAGCAGGUCAUAGUGAUCCGGUGGUUCUGAAUGGAAGGGCCAUCGCUCAACGGAUAAAAGGUACUCCGGGGAUAACAGGCUGAUACCGCCCAAGAGUUCAUAUCGACGGCGGUGUUUGGCACCUCGAUGUCGGCUCAUCACAUCCUGGGGCUGAAGUAGGUCCCAAGGGUAUGGCUGUUCGCCAUUUAAAGUGGUACGCGAGCUGGGUUUAGAACGUCGUGAGACAGUUCGGUCCCUAUCUGCCGUGGGCGCUGGAGAACUGAGGGGGGCUGCUCCUAGUACGAGAGGACCGGAGUGGACGCAUCACUGGUGUUCGGGUUGUCAUGCCAAUGGCACUGCCCGGUAGCUAAAUGCGGAAGAGAUAAGUGCUGAAAGCAUCUAAGCACGAAACUUGCCCCGAGAUGAGUUCUCCCUGAGACUUAGAGUCUCCUGAAGGAACGUUGAAGACGACGACGUUGAUAGGCCGGGUGUGUAAGCGCAGCGAUGCGUUGAGCUAACCGGUACUAAUGAACCGUGAG
rnacentral:rRNA from 1 species